UACGGAGGGGGCGAGCGUUGUCCGAAGUUACUGGGCGUAAAGCGCGCGUAGGCGGGUUGGUAAGUCCGCUGUGAAAGCCCGGAGCUCAACUCCGGAGGGUCGGUGGAUACUGCCAGUCUUGAAGGUGCUAGGGGGAGAUGGAAUUACCGGUGUAGCGGUGAAAUGCGCAGAUAUCAGGAGGAACACCGGUGGCGAAGGCGGGUCUCUGGGCCGAUAUUGACGCUGAGGAGCGAAAGCGUGGGGAGCAAACAGG
rnacentral:rRNA from 1 species